GCACUGGUUUAGCUCAGUGGUUACUUCUGCACAAAUCUACCUGAUUUCGCUCACCCAUCCCUCUGCGGGAUCGACCACGGGCGCUGUCCAGUGUUUUU
rnacentral:vault_RNA from 1 species